UAUGUCUAUGGCAGCAACGAGCUCCCGAAGCUGGACUGGGAGGCAGAAAAGGGAGCGACAACAUCUCUUCUAGUUCUGGAUUACUAUCUGUAAAAGCCGUGUUCAUAAAGGUAAUUUCGUAAAUGUAAGUCGGUGAAAUGACAUAAAUCUAAGAUUUGUAUUUUGUUCACGGUUUUUAUUGAGAGUAACCUUAUAUACAGAAGCCAUUAGGAAAAUCCUUCUUACUCCACCAGUCAUCUUGUGAAAUGGCGUUGAUCAUCUCGUUUCCUUUUCAUCUGUUUCUAAUGUUCAUACUUCAAAUACAAGAAUCCACCUCAGUGAAUCAUGUAUUUGUGCAGACUGGACAAGAUCUAAUUCUUAAUCUCACAGAAGCUGAAAUUGCCCAGAAUUCUCGCCUUUGGUUAUGGCAAUUUAAUGGUAACUCAUUCAUAACAUGUUUCACCUCAUUCACCACCAACUGUUGAUGAGCCUCACACUGGAAGAACUGAAGUUCUUGAGAAAACAUACAAUGUGAAAUUAAAGAAUCUACAAAAGUCAGACAGCGGUAUUUAUACUGCAAGGUCAGUACUGCCUAGAGAACAAAAACUAUCUGAAUACAACGUUACAGUUCAAGAUCCAGUGUCUCCAGUUGAUCUCACCGUUAACCUCACCUCCAGCACCUCCUCCAGAAUCUUCACAGUGACCUGCAGAGCAGGGAACUCUUCCAUCAGCAGCACUCUUAGAUGUGAGAAUCAAACGUGUGGAGAGAGUAGAGGGGUCACCACAUCUGGCUCUUCUCUUCAUAUCUAUCAGUUGGACAAAUCAAUCAUUUGUAACCACAGCAACCAGGUCAGCUGGUCUGAAUCCACUAAAAAGAUUCAAGAUCCAUGCACCAAACAAGCCUUCAACAAAGCCACCAUGGUUAGAAAACCAGUUCCUGUAGUAACUACAGCAGCUGUGGUUAUUGCCUUUUGGCUGUUUAAAAUGUGAGAAACUGGAGGAGGUUUUGCUUACUUGGAGCAACCAUCGAGUCCAUCAAGUCCACAAUUCAAGAUCACCUCAUGGACGUCCCUCAUUUAUGCAGCUCCUCUCAUGUGUGGAGGAAGAGAUAAUCUGAAGACUGUAACCACUGACAAAGUCUCACUCUGCCUUGAGGAGUAUUCUGUACUUUCAAAGACUUCCCAUGUGAUUGCUAUACUGUUUUAAUUAAUGCAUUUGUGUCUUUGCGCUUAGAUUAUUGUAACGCUCUCUUUACUGGGUUGGAUAAAUCUUCACUCUCACACCUCCAAACUAUCCAAAAUACUGCAAUCAGACUUUUGACAGGUUCAUGAAAGCGAGAUCCAUUUUAUGUUCCUUACAUUGGCUACCAACAGAGUUCAGGACCCACUUUAAAACUCUCACACUAACAUAGAGCACUAAACAACCAGGCCCCAGAUUACUUAUGUAAUCGUUUAAAAAAAUAUACCGCUGCUCGUUCCCUUUGUUCGGAACCUCAGGUUCUGUUAGUUGUUCCACAGCACCUAUAUAAAAACUAAAGAGGAUCAAGCCUUUCAGUCUGUGGCACCAAGGCUGUGGAACAGUCUCCCCCUGCAGCUACGUUUAGUUACUCUUUUAAAAACUUUUUCUUUUUAAAACAGGCCUUUUGUUGAAUGUUUUUUUUUGUGAUAUUUCCUAUUUUUCUUAUUUUAUCUUAAUUUUUGUUUGGUUGGUUUUCUCUACAGCUCUUUGAGAUUGCUUUGUCUGUAAAAGGUAAUUAAUAAAUACACUUACUAGUUGUCAUGGUUGAGUUUUGGUUUGGCUUUGUUUUUCUGUUAUUUUCAUUUUUUCAUCUCUUUUGGGUUAG